rnacentral:rRNA from 1 species
AUGGAAGUCAAGUAUUUUGGAAUGGAGGGAGUACAUGCAUGCGAGCAACAUUUUCUUAAAGUUAUCACUUUAACUGACUGCACUUUGUUUCAUUUCAAGUUUCUAUCCUCCCACCAUCUUUCAUUAUCUUUGAAUGCAACCAAAAUUCUACCAUGGCUGCAAGUAAAAUUUCUGUGGAACUUUGACAUGGAUUGUAGAUGUAAUAUUAUAUGUAAGAUGGAUAGUCUGCAGCUGGAGCAGCAUUAUCAGCAUCAUAUGGAUAUACUGCAAAUUAGUUCUAAAAAUAUGCCAAUCAUUCAGAUGCCAUUAAUAUAA